GACCCGUCUUGAAACACGGACCAAGGAGUCCAACGUACAUGCGAGUAUUAGGGUGAUUAAAACCCUGAUGCGAAAUGAAAGUGAAAGGUUCCUCGUGAACCCCAAAGGUAGGACACUGGGCUUCUCUAAGCCUGGUCGCACUAUCGACCGACCUUCGCUUGCGAUUGGUUUGAGUUUGAGCAUGUCCGUUGGGACCCGAAAGAUGGUGAUCUAUGCCUGAGCAGGGCGAAGCCAGGGGAAACUCUGGUGGAGGCUCGUAGCGAUACUGACGUGCAAAUCGUUCGUCUGACUUGGGUAUAGGGGCGAAAGACUAAUCGAACCAUCUAGUAGCUGGUUCCUUCCGA
rnacentral:rRNA from 1 species